GCUUCUUGUACAUAUGUCAAAUUUUAGAGAGCUAACUGCGACACAAUAAUUAUGAAACUGGAACUUCAAAUUGUUAAUUAAGUUCCAAAUACUCGUGACAAACAAAAACAAUAUAGAGUAAAUGGUGUAUGAUUUUAUGGAACUGGGAAAAAAGCAGUAAAUUAAGUACAAAUGAAGGAAUUCCCCUUGUCAUGAAGGUGUAGCAAUUAAAAUCCAAAAUCUAAGUUAUUUGAUAUCUGAGUCAUUCAGUCAAAGUCAAUAAUUAAUUUUCACUAUAUAUUUUUAUAAGAUCUAUAAUUUUUCAACUACACAUUUUAUCAACUUAUAUCAAAAUCUACUAAAAAUCUGAUUUUAAUCUACAAAACACAGGAGCUUAAUAACAUUUGGAUCCCUAGUGGAUCCCUACUAGGCCCCUUUUUGGGGGAAAUUUUUAGGGCAAAAAAUUGAAUUUUUUGACCGUUGGCCACCCAUUUGCAGUCAUCUUUGUUGACCAAAGCUCUCCGGGUGGGUCCCGACAAACCAAAAAGGGUAAAAAUAAUAAUAAUAAUAAUAAUUGCUCUUUUAUUUUAUUUUAUAUUAUAUUUUGGAAAAGCUGCAACAAACAGCCGCUAGGUCUCCAGUGUGAAAGGUCGUCCCGUCGGUAUUCAGCAAAAGCUAGCUAACUUCUCAAUGAUCAGAACACUAGGAUUUGCAACGUCCUCAUUUUCUUCUUGCAGGUAAGUGUUAAGGCCUUUCUUCUAUACUUUUUGAAAUGCAAAAACCGAGCUUCUUAUUCCGACGCUUGGCAACUUUGGCAGCAGCACACAUAUUUCAUUUUUGUCGUUAUCUUUGGCAGUAGCAGCAUUUUUGUUGGUGACAUUAUCAUCAUCGUCCUCGCUUGAACUACAAGCUCUUAAUCUAAUGCAUCCUUCACAAAAAAUUUCAACCUCCACAAAGUAGAUUCAUGCUGCAUUUCACCGAGAUAUGCAUAUGCCAAGAGAAUAUUACCCAAAAAGUGUACAGCACAAAGUUUAUAUGAACCUGUGCAUUGAAGUCAAGCUCCACGUUUUCAGCUGUCGAUGGGAAGCAGCUAUUAUAUCUAGUGCCUUGCUAUCUUCAGGACAUAAUUUGGAGAGAUCAAUCCCAAGUUUUCUUUUCUCCACCAUAGAUACAUAUACGUCUGGAGUAAUGCUUUCAUAAGUACCAUUGGGUGACGACAAGAUAUGAAGAAAAAAUAACCACAGUUGUAAAUAAAUUACUCAUCAAAAUCCUGAUGGAUCCAAUACUUCAUUUUCAAUUAUCAUUUCCUCCAUCUGGCCCUAAGCAUGUUCAUCCCUACACAAUUGAACACGCGAGUGAAUAUGUCUGUGGUCAGGAAAAGUAAAAAAGCUAAAAUAUUUACAUAUAGAUACAAAGCAGAAAUGCCUGAUAUAAAGGACAAACCAGUCUAUUCAAUUUCAGGCAUGAGAAACAUAACGUCCUUAGAAUGAGUUAAUGCUAGUGCCAGUGUUGAUUGAAGUAGAGGGGGAAGGAGUCGGAGGAACCGACAGGCGACUGAGGAAUGCAUCCUUACUUCUGAGAUAUAAACCACAAAACGUGAAUACAAUGGCAAAACAAGCAUUAGUUCUGACCUGCAUCUUUUAACGAUCAUCUCUCCGAGUUCGUCAAUAUGCAUGUCAACCUCAUAGAGCUUUAACAAAUUUAAAACGGAUUAUCAACUCUUUUAAGGCGGUAACUGACACGACCCAUCUCGAAUUAUCUCAGUGGACUCUACACGUGUCG
rnacentral:lncRNA from 1 species